rnacentral:rRNA from 1 species
GCUUGUUGGUGGGGUAAUGGCUUACCAAGGCGACGAUCGGUAGCUGGUCUGAGAGGAUGAUCAGCCACACUGGGACUGAGACACGGCCCAGACUCCUACGGGAGGCAGCAGUGGGGAAUUUUGCGCAAUGCACGACAGUGUGACGCAGCAACGCCGCGUGGGGGAAGAAGGCUUUCGGGUCGUAAACCCCUUUCAGGAGGGACGAAGCUUCGGCAGCGAAUAGCUGUCCGGAGUGACGGUACUUCCAUAAGAAGCCCCGGCUAACUACGUGCCAGCAGCCGCGGUAAUACGUAGGGGGCAAGCGUUGUCCGGAAUUAUUGGGCGUAAAGGGCUCGUAGGCGGUUUGUCGCGUCGUGAGUGAAAACACGGGGCUUAACCCCGUGCCUGCUUCCGAUACGGGCAGACUAGAGGUAUGCAGGGGAGAACGGAAUUCCUGGUGUAGCGGUGAAAUGCGCAGAUAUCAGAGGAACACCGGUGGCGAAGGCGGUUCUCUGGGCAUUACCUGACGCUGAGGAGCGAAAGUGUGGGGAGCGAACAGGAUUAGAUACCCUGGUAGUCCACACCGUAAACGUUGGGCGCUAGGUGUGGGGCUCAUUCCACGAGUUCCGUGCCGCAGCUAACGCAUUAAGCGCCCCGCCUGGGGAGUACGGCC